UACGAAGGGGGCUAGCGUUGCUCGGAUUUACUGGGCGUAAAGGGCGCGUAGGCGGAUGACCAAGUUGGGGGUGAAAUCCCGGGGCUUAACCUCGGAACUGCCUCCAAAACUGGUCGUCUUGAGUUUGGGAGAGGUGUGUGGAACUCCGAGUGUAGAGGUGAAAUUCGUAGAUAUUCGGAAGAACACCAGUGGCGAAGGCGACACACUGGCCCAAUACUGACGCUGAGACGCGAAAGCGUGGGGAGCGAACAGG
rnacentral:rRNA from 1 species